rnacentral:rRNA from 1 species
ACAUGCAAGUCGAGCGCGAACGGAGCAAUCCUAGUAGAGCGGCGCACGGGUGCGUAACACGUGGGUAAUCUGCCUCGAAGCCCGGGAUAACCUGCCGAAAGGCAAGCUAAUACCGGAUAAGCCUCCGGGUUCCUCGGAACCUGAAGGAAAAGGUGGCCUCUAUUUAUAAGCUAUCACUUCGAGAUGAGCCCGCGGCCCAUCAGCUAGUUGGCGGGGUAACGGCCCACCAAGGCUACGACGGGUAGCUGGUCUGAGAGGACGAUCAGCCACACUGGAACUGAGACACGGUCCAGACUCCUACGGGAGGCAGCAGUGGGGAAUUUUGCGCAAUGGGCGAAAGCCUGACGCAGCAACGCCGCGUGUGUGAUGAAGGUCUUCGGAUCGUAAAGCACUUUCGACCGGGAAGAAACGCUGUUGGCUAACAUCCAGCAGCCUGACGGUACCGGGAGAAGAAGCACCGGCUAACUCUGUGCCAGCAGCCGCGGUAAUACAGAGGGUGCAAGCGUUGUUCGGAAUUAUUGGGCGUAAAGCGCGUGUAGGCGGCUUAGCAAGUCGGGUGUGAAAGCCCUCGGCUCAACCGAGGAAGUGCGCCCGAAACUGCUGAGCUUGAGUACCGGAGAGGAUGGCGGA